rnacentral:rRNA from 1 species
GAUGAACGCUGGCGGCGUGCCUAAAACAUGCAAGUCGAGCGAACAGACGAGGAGCUUGCUCCUCUGACGUUAGCGGCGGACGGGUGAGUAACACGUGGAUAACCUACCUAUAAGACUGGGAUAACUUCGGGAAACCGGGGCUAAUACCGGAUAACAUGUUGAACCGCAUGGUUCAACAGUGAAAGGCGGUCUUGCUGUCACUUAUAGAUGGAUCCGCGCCGCAUUAGCUAGUUGGUAAGGUAACGGCUUACCAAGGCAACGAUGCGUAGCCGACCUGAGAGGGUGAUCGGCCACACUGGAACUGAGACACGGUCCAGACUCCUACGGGAGGCAGCAGUAGGGAAUCUUCCGCAAUGGGCGAAAGCCUGACGGAGCAACGCCGCGUGAGUGAAGAAGGUCUUCGGAUCGUAAAACUCUGUUAUUAGGGAAGAACAAAUGUGUAAGUAACUAUGCACGUCUUGACGGUACCUAAUCAGAAAGCCACGGCUAACUACGUG